UACGUAGGGUGCAAGCGUUAAUCGGAAUUACUGGGCGUAAAGCGUGCGCAGGCGGUUUUGUAAGUCUGUCGUGAAAGCCCCGGGCUCAACCUGGGAAUUGCGAUGGAGACUGCAAGGCUUGAAUCUGGCGGAGGGGGGUAGAAUUCCACGUGUAGCAGUGAAAUGCGUAGAGAUGUGGAGGAACACCGAUGGCGAAGGCAGCCCCCCUGGGUCAAGAUUGACGCUCAUGCACGAAAGCGUGGGGAGCAAACAGG
rnacentral:rRNA from 1 species